CUUGAUGGUAGUGUAUUGGACUACCAUGGCGUUAACGGGUAACGGAGGAUUAGGGUUCGAUUCCGGAGAGGGAGCCUGAGAAACGGCUACCACAUCUAAGGAAGGCAGCAGGCGCGUAAAUUACCCAAUCCUAAUUCAGGGAGGUAGUGACAAGAAAUAAAGAACUGAGGCCUACGCUUCAGGAUCUCAAUGAGUAGAAUUUAAACCCCUUUACGAGGAUCAAUUGGAGGGCAAGUCUGGUGCCAGCAGCCGCGGUAAUUCCAGCUCCAAUAGCGUAUAUUAAAGUUGUUGCAGUUAAAAAGCUCGUAGUUGAACUUCUGAGCGGAUGCCAAUGUCGACCGUGUGUCUGGCAGCGGUGUCCGCUCAUCCUUCUGUUAACGUUUCUGGUAUUGAUUUACUGGUUGCGGGCUCAGAUAUUUUACCUUGAGAAAAUUAGAGUGUUUCAGGCAGGCUUGCGCCCGAAUACAUUAGCAUGGAAUAAUAGAAUAGGACUUUGGUCUCCUUUGUUGGUUUGAGGGACUAGAGUAAUGAUUAAUAGGGACAGUUGGGGGCAUUAGUAUUUAAUUGUCAGAGGUGAAAUUCUCGGAUUUGUUAAAGACUAACUUAUGCGAAAGCAUUUGCCAAGGAUGUUUUCAUUAAUCAAGAACGAAAGUUAGGGGAUCAAAGACGAUUAGAUACCGU
rnacentral:rRNA from 1 species